rnacentral:SRP_RNA from 2 species
AUAUCUGCUCUGAAGGAAGCUGCUGUGGCUGCCCCUUUUUGAUGGCGCUGAAGGGUGGGUCCUGCGCAAUGGAUGUCCACGAACCGUGUCAGGUUGGGAACAAAGCAGCACUAAGAGGAAUUUUUCCAUGUGCCGCAGGGUCACCUGCCCCGAGUUAAUCAGAAGGGUAACGCAUGGCAGCUUCCUUUAGCGCAGA